GCGACCCCAGGAUGGGCGAGGCCACCCGCUGAGUUUAAGCAUAUUCAAUWAGCGGARGAGAAAAAACUUUACAAGGAUUCCCUUAUUACCGGCAACCAACGGGGG
rnacentral:rRNA from 1 species